rnacentral:Y_RNA from 1 species
GGCUGGUCUGAAGGUAGUGAGUUAUUUCACUUGAUUGUUCACAGAACUGCUUGUUGUUCUACUACUUCCCCCCUUCUCACUACUGCACUAGUUUUUGACUAGUCAAAA